rnacentral:rRNA from 1 species
GAUCCUGGCUCAGGAUGAACGCUAGCGGCAGGGCUUAACACAUGCAAGUCGAGGGGCAGCAUAAACAUUGCUUGCAAUGUUUGAUGGCGACCGGCGCACGGGUGCGUAACGCGUAUGUAACCUACCUCAAACAGGGGCAUAACACUGAGAAAUUGGUACUAAUUCCCCAUAACACCUGAUAGGGCAUCCUAUUAGGUUGAAAGUUCCGGCGGUUUGAGAUGGACAUGCGUUGUAUUAGCUAGUUGGUGGGGUAACGGCCCACCUAGCCGACGAUCUUUAGGGGUUCUGAGAGGAAGGUCCCCCACACUGGUACUGAGACACGGUCCAAACUCCUACGGGAGGCAGCAGUGAGGAAUAUUGGUCAAUGGCCGGAAGGCUGAACCAGCCAAGUAGCGUGAAGGAUGACUGCCCUAUGGGUUGUAAACUUCUUUUAUAUGGGAAUAAAAGACAUUACGUGUAGUGUUUUGUAUGUACCUUAUGAAUAAGCAUCGGCUAAUUCCGUG